UACGGAGGGUGCGAGCGUUGUCCGGAAUCAUUGGGCGUAAAGGGCGCGUAGGUGGCCCGGUCAGUCUUUGGUGAAAGCGCGGGGCUCAACCCUGCGUCGGCCAGGGAUACUGCCGCGGCUCGAGCACUGUAGAGGCAGGCGGAAUUCCGGGUGUAGCGGUGGAAUGCGUAGAGAUCCGGAAGAACACCGGUGGCGAAGGCGGCCUGCUGGACAGUUUUGCUGACACUGAGGCGCGACAGCGUGGGGAGCAAACAGG
rnacentral:rRNA from 1 species